rnacentral:lncRNA from 10 species
CGUGAUCUCAGCUCACUGCAACCUCUGACUACUUGGUUCAAGCAAUUGCUCCUGCCUUAGCCUCCAGAGUAGUGGGGAUUACAGGAAUGAGCCACCACGCCCAGCUAAUUUUUGUAUUUUUAGUAGAGAUGGGGUUUCACCAUGUUGGGCAGGCUUGUCUUGAACUCCUGGCCUUAAGUGAUCUGCCUGUCUUGGUUUCCCAAAGUGCUGGGAUUACCGGCAUGAGCCACCAUGCCCAGUGUGUGCCCUCUCUCUCUGUCUCUCUCUCUCUCUCCUGCUGCAGUGGGAAGACAUGCCUUGCUUCUCUUUUGACUUCAUCGUAAAAAGUUUCCUGAGGCCUCCCCAGCCAUGCAGAACUGCUCUGUCACUUGAGUUGUUACCAGGCAGUGGGACAACAAUGAACCAUCCCCUUCUACAAAGGCCAAGAACCUACAUUGGGGAAAAGACAAUAUCUUCAAUAAAUGGUGCUGGGAAAACUGGGUAUCUGUAUGCAGAAGAACGAAACUAGACCCUUAUCUCUCACCAUAUAAAAAAUCAAAUCAAAAUGGAUUAAACACUUAAAUCUAAGACUUCAAACUAUGCAACUGCUUCAAGAAAACAUUGGGGAAACUCUCCAGGGCAUUGGUCUUGGCAAGAGUUUCUUGAGUAAUACCACACAAACACAGGCAACCAAAGCAAAAAUGGACAAAUGGGAUCACAUCAAGUUAGAAAGCUUCUGCACAGCAAAGGUAGCAAUCAACAAAGUGAACAGACAAUCCACAGAAUGGGAGGAAAUAUUGCAAACAUUAACAUUAACAUGGGAUUAAUAACCAGAGUACAUAAGGAGCUCAAACAAUUUUAUAGGAAAAAAAUCGAAUAAUCUAAUUUAAAAAUAGGUAAGAUUUGAAUAUACACUUCUCAACUGAAGACAUACAAAUGGCAAGCAGGCAUAUGAAAAGUUGCUCAACAUCAUUGCUCGUCAGAGAAAUGCAAAUUAAAAAGCGUUUGAAGCCCCUGACUUGGUUGCAAGAAGUUGGUCUUGUUCCCCUCUUCUGGGUGUGGUGCCUUCUCUUACAAUGCACUCCUGGGAUAUCAGGAUAUCAUCUCACUCCAGUUAAAAUGGAUUUUAUCCAAAAGACAGGCAAUAACAAACGCUGGCCAGGAUGUGGAGGAAAGGGAACCCUCAUACACAUUGGUGGGAAUGUAAAUUAGUGCAACCACCAUGGAGAAGAGUUUGGAGGUUCCUCAAAAAACUAAAAAUGAAGUUAUCGUAUCAUGCAGCAAUGCCACUGUUGGGUAUACACCCCUAAGAAAGGAUAUCAGUAUAUCAAAGAGAUAUCAGCACUCCAUGUUUGUUGCAGCACUGUUCACAAUGGCCAAAAUUUGGAAGCAACCUAAGUGUCCCUCAGCAGAGGAAAGGAUAAGGAAAAUAUGCUAUUUAUACACAAUGGAGUACUAUUCAGCCGUAAAAGGAACGAGAUCCUGUCCUUUGCAACAACAUGGAUGGAGCUGAAGAUCAUUAUGUUAAGCGAAAUAAGCCAGGCACAGAAGGACAAACAUUGCAUGUUCUCACUUAUUUGUGAGAUCUAAAAAUCAAAAAAAUUGAACUCAUGAGUGAGCAUAGAGAAUACAAGGUUGGUUACCAGAAGCUUGGAAGGGUAGUGGGAGAGUGGGGUAGGGGGAGGUGGGGAUGGUUAAUGGGUAUUUAAAAAAAUAGAAAGAAUGAAUAAGACUUCAUAUUUGAUAGCACAACAGGGUGACUAUAGUCAGUAAUAAUUUAAUUGUACAUUUAAAAAUAACAAUAAGAGUAUAACUGGAUUGUUUUUGACACAAAGGAUAAAUGCUUGAGGGGAUGGAUACCCCACUUUACAUGAUGUGAUUACAAUGCAUUGCAUGCCUGUAUCAAAACAUCUCAUGCAACCAUAAAUGUAUACACUUACUAUGUACCUACAAAAAUUAAAAUUAAAAAUCAAACAAAUCAAAAAUAAAAAAAUAAAUUAUCCCUGUGGGAUGGGCUUUCCCUGAAAAAUGAAUAGGAACAAUUUUCAGAGAGGUUGGAGAUGGCCAGAUGAGGGGAUGUGGGCAAGAACCUGCGAACGUGGAGGAAGCCCAGCGUCUGAUAAGCAAGGAUGACCAGUGAGCAUGUGCUGAAGUGGCAGUGUCUGCGUGGCUCUGGCAUCCUGUGCACCUCACAUUCAUUUAAAACUGUUGGCUGCAUUGUGAUGUGCCCAUAUCCCAUUACCUCCAGUCUUCAGUGGAUUCUGCAACACAUGCUUAUGUUAGUUGUACUUUGAGGAAAGAGAAUUAAAGAAACAACUGGCAGCAUGGCAUGUUUCAGGUGACCUGGGGUUGGGAGAAUAGAACUGCCACAGGAGGUGAGACGCAAGGCAGUUCUGAGAAUUCGGUGGAGGUGGGAAAUCCGCGAAAGCGUUCACCGGAACAAGCACAUGUCCUUGAGAAUCCAUGAAGAUAAAGGGUGACCACGUGCCUUAAGCUGCAAUAUGUGAAAUGAAGGGGUCAGCCAGCUGUAGAAUGAUAUUGAACUUUUAUUCUUUUAUUUUUAUUUUAAAGGUAACACACAAGGUAAAAAAAAUUGAGACGUCACGC